rnacentral:lncRNA from 1 species
CAACACGAAUUUAUCAUCUUAUGUUGUUUAGAAAUCUGAUGUGAGUCUCACGUCACUAAAAUCAAGGUAUCCAGAGGGAUGCGUUCCUUUCUGGAGGUUCCAGGGGAAAUCUGUUUCUGUGCAAUUUACAUAUUUAUAGAGGCCGUUGAGAUGCUUUGGCUCAUUGGCCUUACUCCAUGUUCACAUCUGCUAACUUUACAUAUCUCCAUCUUUUCUCCCUCCUAAUGUUGUCCUCUGACCAUACAGCUUGGAAACAGUUCCUGUGAUCACAAGGAAACACAAGAUAAUCUCCCCAUCUCAAGAUCCUUAACCUUAUUCACAUCUGCAAAGCUCCUUUUGUCAUGUAAGGUAACAUUUACAGGUUUUGGAGAUUAGGAUGUGAACAUCUUGGGAGGCUGUAUUCUGCCUAUGACUGUUUUUGUUCAGAAACAUUUUCCUGAACUUCAGGAAGAACUUACUCCAUUUUGCUUUAUGCUUACCUACUACUACAUUUGCAGUAAUUAUUAGGCUAUGUGGUCAUCUUGAGUCCUCCAGAGUGACCUACCCUCCUAUUUUGUUAUAUUCAGAGUCUUCCCUACACCACAGGAGUCCAGGUGGUCUUGAACCCAUAUGGAAACAGGUGAACAGAAGACUUUUCAUCCCAUUCCCUGGUCUUCUCCACCCAUGAAUGUCUGUGCCAAACUGUUUGAGAAGGGCUCUGUUCUGAAGCACUCCAAGAGGAAACAAAAUGGAACCACAAAGCUGAAUAGAGAGAUCUAUGGAAGACAGAGAACAACAGAAAUCUAUUUCUUUAUGCAUAAGUUAAAGCAGAAUAAAUAUAUCCAUUUUACUGAAGCUUGUCAAUACUUAGACCCUAACAUGAGUAAAGAGUAAAUGGCCUGAGCACACGUUUAUAACUGAGAGGUGAGGGAGCAGGCUGACUCACCUGCAGGGCCUUGACUUCUAUAGAUACCUGGAUCCGUCAGAAAAAGCUGGAGAGUGCUCCUAUCCUCCCUCCAGGAGAAAAGGAAGACAGACAAGAGUAGGAGAGGACAUUUACCAGAUUCUUCCUGAGCUGAUGUUGUCCCUGAUAACUUCUAUGACCCAAUUUGGAGCCUAAACUUCAGUAAAUUCUGACAACUCAGCAUAAAAGGACCCUACCACGUUGUGCUUUCUUAUGCCCUAUUCUUUUCUUUCAUGCAAGUUAUAUUUAAAAAACAUGUAUUUUAUAUUUGUUUAUGUGUUUACUAUUUACCUUUGGGACAAGAUUGCAAGCUCUCUAAGGAUAGGGAUCAGAUUGUGUUUUACUUUAAACAAAUGAAUAUGUAAUUAAUUUUAUACUUUAAAUAUAUUGUUAUUGCAUUUUCCAUUUUAAUUUAUUAAUUAAUAAUUUUAAUAAAUUUUAAUAAUGAAUGUGAUUGUAGCUAAUUCUCAUUAUUUGGGGAUUACCUAUUUGUGAGUUUACCUAUUCUCUAAGGUUUAUUUGUAACCUCCCCAUUAAUACUCCCAAUCCUUGGUGGUCAUUGCUGGCCAUAUCAUGUACAGAAUGAGGAAA